rnacentral:rRNA from 1 species
CAGCAACCGCGGUUAUACAAAUAAUGCAAAUAAAAUUUAUUAAUAAUAGUUAAUUUGUUUUAUUUAAGUUUAUUUUAAAUUUUUUAAGUGAAAUUUUAAAUUUAAUUAAUUUUAAAAUAAAUAAAGCUAGUAAAUUUUAGCUAUAAACUAGGAUUAGAUACCCUAUUAUUUAAAAAGUAUUUUUUUUUGUUUGAGUAGUAAUAGUUAUGUUCUUAAAACUUAAAAAAUUUGGCGGUGUUUUAGUCUAUUUAGAGGAACCUGUCCUGUAAUCGAUAAUCCACGUUGGACCUUACUAAUUUUUGUUUUCAAUUUGUAUAUCGCCGUUAUCAGAAUAUCUUAAAAGAGAAAAAAUUUUCUUAAUUUAUUAAUAAAAAUGAUGUCAGGUCAAGGUGCAGUUUAUAUUUUAGAAGAGAUGGGUUACAAUAAAAUUAUUUAUACGAAGAAUUUUAUUGAAAAAUAAAUUUAAAGGUGGAUUUAAAAGUAAAGUAAUAAAU